rnacentral:rRNA from 1 species
GACGAACGCUGGCGGCGUGCCUAAUACAUGCAAGUUGAGCGAUGAAGAUUGGUGCUUGCACCAAUUUGAAGAGCAGCGAACGGGUGAGUAACGCGUGGGGAAUCUGCCUUUGAGCGGGGGACAACAUUUGGAAACGAAUGCUAAUACCGCAUAACAACUUUAAACAUAAGUUUUAAGUUUGAAAGAUGCAAUUGCAUCACUCAAAGAUGAUCCCGCGUUGUAUUAGCUAGUUGGUGAGGUAAAGGCUCACCAAGGCGAUGAUACAUAGCCGACCUGAGAGGGUGAUCGGCCACAUUGGGACUGAGACACGGCCCAAACUCCUACGGGAGGCAGCAGUAGGGAAUCCUCGGCAAUGGACGAAAGUCUGACCGAGCAACGCCGCGUGAGUGGAGAAGGUUUUCGGAUCGUAAAACUCUGUUGGUAGGGAAGAACGUUGGUGAGAGUGGAAAGCUCAUCAAGUGACGGUAACUACCCAGAAAGGGACGGCUAACUACGUG